rnacentral:tRNA from 1 species
GCGCCCGUAGCUCAGUGGAUAGAGUGUGGGUUUGCGGAACCCAAGGUCGCAGGUUCGAAUCCUGCCGGGCGCGCCA